rnacentral:rRNA from 1 species
CCGGAUUAGAUACCCUGGUAGUCCACGCCGUAAACGAUGUCGACUUGGAGGCUGUUUCCUUGAGAAGUGGCUUCCGGAGCUAACGCGUUAAGUCGACCGCCUGGGGAGUACGGCCGCAAGGUUAAAACUCAAAUGAAUUGACGGGGGCCCGCACAAGCGGUGGAGCAUGUGGUUUAAUUCGAUGCAACGCGAAGAACCUUACCUACUCUUGACAUCCACGGAAUUUGGCAGAGAUGCCUUAGUGCCUUCGGGAACCGUGAGACAGGUGCUGCAUGGCUGUCGUCAGCUCGUGUUGUGAAAUGUUGGGUUAAGUCCCGCAACGAGCGCAACCCUUAUCCUUUGUUGCCAGCGAUUCGGUCGGGAACUCAAAGGAGACUGCCGGUGAUAAACCGGAGGAAGGUGGGGAUGACGUCAAGUCAUCAUGGCCCUUACGAGUAGGGCUACACACGUGCUACAAUGGCGCAUACAAAGAGAAGCGACCUCGCGAGAGCAAGCGGACCUCAUAAAGUGCGUCGUAGUCCGGAUCGGAGUCUGCAACUCGACUCCGUGAAGUCGGAAUCGCUAGUAAUCGUGGAUCAGAAUGCCACGGUGAAUACGUUCCCGGGCCUUGUACACACCGCCCGUCACACCAUGGGAGUGGGUUGCAAAAGAAGUAGGUAGCUUAACCUUCGGGAGGGCGCUUACCACUUUGUGAUUCAUGACUGGGGUGAAGUCGUAACAAGGUAAC